UGGGCACUGUUUUAUGCAUACUGUUCAUUUGUUAUAAAAUUAAGCCGAUCGGACCUUUUUUUAAAAAACAAAUAAAUUUGAAGACCAAGAUAAGGUGGAAUGCAGAAGGUUUUAAUCUCUUCUCUGCCUUAAUAUCAAACGGGCUAGGUGAAAUAUCAAUAACAAGAGAAAAUGUUAUCUUAUGCUUCUAAUGACAGAUAUUCAAUGUUUGUAUG
rnacentral:lncRNA from 1 species